GGGAUGCAGUCUGGGACACGUAGUUGCAAACCUAGCGACUUUGUUGUUAGAUUCAAUUACUUUUCAGACCCCCUAACGACUUUUUUUAGAAAGAAAGGGACUUUUAUCGACUUCUUCUGGAGUUUAGAGACUCUGACAUGAAGCAGGCUUUCCUUACUGAGGAGUUAGCAACGCUGCUAAGGGUGCAGAGCCACACAUGCGCUCCGAGCUCUGCAUGGGAGACUGAAGCUGACAGAGCUGCAGCAGUUAGCAGGUUUCACCCUCAGAGACCACCAGGGGUUCAUGUUGAGGCAUUUUCAGUUUUUGUUUUUUUUGCCAUAGACUGUCAGCACAAUCUGCAGUUACACUAACAAAAAUGCUGCAAAAAACAAAGAAUUAUGGAAAAAUUACACAUGGACUGACAUAGAGGAGGAUCUACACAAGUUUUUUACAUCAUGUUUUACAUCAUGCAUCAUUUACAUCAUUCAUCAUUUUUUGUAGUGGCAUAAAUAAAAAGUGACAUUUGUGAGACUAUACAGUGUUUUGUAAAUAAUUUUACAAAGAACGCCUGGGCCAUUGCCUGCAUUUUGAUGUAAAUAGAGGUAAAUUACUAUGUUCUUUGUUAAAAAUUUGCAUAUGUUUUGAAGUUUACAAUUUUUAUUUGAAGUUUAAGUUUUAAAAACAGUUCAUCACACAUAUUUGUGGUUUAAUUUCACAUUAAUUUCCAUAUUGUAUAAAUGACUGGAAAAAACUUGAGCCCCUGCCCCUGUAUAAUCAUGUGCACGUCCCUGUUCUAGCUCCAAGGUGAAUCUUCACUGCUCAUGUUCUCCUCAGAAAUAGUCACCUCACUCCCCUCAGGUUACUGUACACAUGCACCAACUGCCUGCUUCAGGUUUGGAUGGAGCUUCAUGGUUGUCUUUUGGAGAAAUGAACAGUCAAGUUGUGUUUGAAAUAUGAUUUUUUUCAGCGGCAAAAGGAAGCCUCUGCAUUCUUGUCAAAUAUGUAAACAGCAUGUUUUUGCAGGUGCUAAAAAACAGACUCUGAGUGUGUGUGUGUGUGUGUGUGUGUGUGUGUGUGUGUGUGUGUGAGUGUGUGUGUGUAUAUGUGUGUGUAUCCUGCAGUACUCUGUACUCCUGCAGUGGCCAAAAAGACUUUUAAGAAUGUGGAUUUUUGGGUCAUCUUUGGCGCCCCCUAGAACUGCAGUACUCUGUACUCCUGCAGUGGCCAAAAUGACUUUUAAGAAUGUGGAUUUUUUGGUCAUCUUUGGCGCACCCUAGAACGUAAACCGUGGGGUGCAGCGUCAUGAUUUUUACAACUUUGAAUGGGCAUGGGGUGUAGAUUGCCCUGAGCAAAUUUGGUAUCGGUGGGACGAAAGCCUUAGGAGGAGAUAGCCACAUUCCAAUGUGUGCGAAUCGGCAAAAAAUGCGAAAUAGCCCUUUAACCGUACAUUAUACAGAUACGCGCCUUUUGACUUUUUCGUAGAUCUAAUUGAGAUACACAUGAUUGUCAAUUUUUGUGUCAAUAUGACAAAGCGUUCAGGCGUGACACUCAACAAUGUGUAUUUUCAUGUAAGGGGACAAGAAAAAAUUGACUUUUUUCUCCUUCCAUGGGGGGGCGCUCUUUUGGGGAGUAAAAAUUCCUUCACAAAUGUGUUGAUGGCUGGACAUUGCAUCAUCCUAGAAAACUUGGAGGGCAGUGAGGACAAAAAUAAAAAGUUAUAAGACUUUUAAGAAUGUGGAUUUUGGGUUAUCUUUGGCGCCCCCUAGAACGUAAACCGUGGGGUGCAGCGUCAUGAUUUGUACAACUUUUAAUGGCCAUGGGGGGUAGAUUGGCCUGCGCAAAUGUGGUGCCGGUCGAACGAAAGCCUUCGGAGGAGUUAGCGAAAUUCCAAUGUGUGCAGAUCUGCAAAAAAUGCAAAAUAACCCAUUAACCGUACAUUUGACAGAUACGCCCGCACUGACUUUUUUGUAGAUCUUAUUGAGAUACAUGUGUGUGUCAAUUUUUGUGUCAAUAUGACAAAGCGUACAGCCGUCAUGUGAAUUUUCACCUUAGGGGGCGCUAUGGAGCCAUUUUGCAUUUUAUUGUUUGGGCGACUUCAGAAUAUCGAAUUUUUCACCAGGCCCGGUCGUCCUGCCAAAUUUCCUGAGUUUUCGCCAGUGGGAAGUGGGCCAUUUUCCAGUUUAAAGCGGAGGAAAAAUAAUAACGAAAGAAGGAAACAUGCAGGAACAAGAGGGCUCUCGCAGCUGCUUAGCAGCUACGCUCGGGCCCUAAUAAUAAUAACAAAAGAAGGAAACAUGCAGGAACAAGAGGGCUCUCGCAGCUGCUUAGCAGCUACGCUCGGGCCCUAACAAAAGAAGGAAACAUGCAGGAACAAGAGGGCUCUCGCAGCUGCUUAGCAGCUACGCUCGGGCCCUAACUAGGGCCCCGGCGGGGCACUGGCAGGCCCGAGCCAUGUUGUGCCGCCCCCAGCGCGACGGCCCCCCCCUUCCGAUCGCGUCACACUCAAGGUCCAAAGAUGGUGUGCGCACUUGUCUGUGGUCAUUUACCAUUAUAAUGAAUGGGAGGCGCAGUUUCUACCAAAACGCUCGCUGCAGAAAAACUCCAUGUCUUAUUUGAAAAAAGUCUGGACCAUGAGUGAGGGCACAAACACAGCUAGGAUAUAUCCAAAUGGCAAGUUGCUCCUCCUUUCGGUUUUGCCGAGAGAGCGAUGCGUUUAAGCCAUUGAGCGAUGGGCAGGAACAACUUGACUUUUUCUCCGGCCACGGGAGGGGGCGCUCUUUUGGGGAGUAAAAAUUCCCUCACAAUUGUGUUGAUGGCUGAACAUUGCAUCAUCCUAGAAAACUUGGAGGCCAGUGAGGACAAAAAUAAAAAGUUAUAAGACUUUUAAAAUUGUGGAUUUUUGGGUUAUAUUUGGCGCCCCCUAGAACGUAAACCGUGGGGUGCAGCGUCAUGAUUUGAAUAACUUUUAAUGGCCAUGGGGUGUAGAUUGGCCUGAGCAAAUGUGGUGCCGGUGGAACGAAAGCCUUCGGAGGAGUUAGCGAAAUUCCAAUGUGUGCGGAUCGGCAAAAAAUGCGAAAUAACCCUUUAACCGUACAUUAGACAGAUACGCGCGCAUGGACUUUUUUGUAGAUCUUAUUGAGAUACAUGUGUGUGUCAAUUUUUGUGUCAUUUUGACAAAGCGUACAGGCGUGACAGUCAAUAGUGUGAAUUUUCACCUUAGGGGACAAGAAAAAAUGGACUUUUUUCUCCUGCCAUGGGGGGGCGCUCUUUUGGGGAGUAAAAAUUCCUUCACAAAUGUGUUGAUGGCUGGACAUUGCAUCAUCCUAGAAAACUUGGAGGCCAGUGAGGGCAAAAAUAAAAAGUUAUAAGACUUUUAAAUAUGUGGAUUUUAGGGUUAUCUUUGGCGCCCCCUAGAACCUAAACCGUGGGGUGCAGCGUCAUGAUUUGAAUAACUUUUAAUGGCCAUGGGGUGUAGAUUGGCCUGAGCAAAUGUGGUGCCGGUGGAACGAAAGCCUUCGGAGGAGUUAGCGAAAUUCCAAUGUGUGCGGAUCGGCAAAAAAUGCGAAAUAACCCUUUAACCGUACAUUUGACAGAUAUGCCUGCACUGACUUUUUUGUAGAUCUUAUUGAGAUACAUGUGUGUGUCAAUUUUUGUGUCAUUUUGACAAAGCGUACAGGCGUGACAGUCAAUAGUGUGAAUUUUCACCUUAGGGGGCGCUAUGGAGCCAUUUUGCAUUUUCUUGUUUGGGCAACUUCGGAAUAUCAAAUUUUUCACCAGGCCCGGUCGUCCUGCCAAAUUUCAUGAGUUUUCGCCAGUGGGAAGUGGGCCAUUUUCCAGUUCAAAGGGGAGGAAAAAUAACUAGGGCCCCGUUGGGGCACUGGCGGGCCCGAGCCGUGUCACGCCGCCCCCAGCGCGACCGCCUCCCCCACCCGAUCGCGUCACACUCAAGGUCCAAAGAUGGUGUGCGCACUUGUUUGUGGUCAUUUACCAUUAUAAUGAACGGGAGGCGCAGUUUCUACCAAAACGCUCGCUGCAGAAAAACUCCAUGUCCUAUUUGAAAAAAGUCUG